GUGCCAGCAGCCGCGGUAAUACGGAGGGUGCAAGCGUUGUCCGGAAUUAUUGGGUUUAAAGGGUGCGUAGGCGGCCCGUUAAGUCAGUGGUGAAAGUCUGUGGCUCAACCAUAGAAGUGCCAUUGAUACUGACGGGCUUGAGUAUACUAAAGGUAGGCGGAAUUUAUGAUGUAGCGGUGAAAUGCAUAGAUAUCAUAAAGAACACCGAUAGCGAAGGCAGCUUACUUGAGUAUAACUGACGCUGAGGCACGAAAGCGUGGGGAGCGAACAGGAUUAGAUACCCUGGUAGUCCACGCCGUAAACGAUGAUUACUCGCUGUUGGCGAUAGACAGUCAGCGGCCAAGCGAAAGCGUUAAGUAAUCCACCUGGGGAGUACGCUGGCAACAGUGAAACUCAAAGGAAUUGACGGGGGUCCGCAC
rnacentral:rRNA from 1 species